GCUGGACCACUUCACAGUCCCACCAGGAAUGCAGGAGGAGUCUACAUUUUCUCUCCCCUCACUAGCGCUUGUCAUCUGUCAGGUUACAGCCAUCUUAGGAUGUGUAAGAAGCAAUGCUGGCUCAAUCUCCUUCAGGACUGACUGUGUUGCACCCUCUUCAUCCUGCUAUCUGUUGACUAUAGAGGUUUGACCUUCACAUGACUGAUGGGUAAAGAGACUGUACCUCUGCUGUGCCUGUGUGUAUCAAUUCAAGGCUAUAGCUGGCACAGCUCCUUGGUCUGGAGCUCAAAGAUGUCCUCAGGCAGUUAGCCCCAUCUGCCAGGUCUGCUGUCUUCCAGGAGACCCCUCCCUCUUCUUGGAUACACAGGAAGAGAAUAGUCGGAAAGACUGCCAAUCUC